UACAGAGGUCUCAAGCGUUGUUCGGAAUCACUGGGCGUAAAGGGUGCGUAGGUGGCGCGGAAAGUCGUCGGUGAAAGCUCGGGGCUCAACCCUGAGUCUGCCGGUGAUACUCCCGCGCUCGAGCUCACUAGAGGCAGAUGGAAUUCCGGGUGUAGCGGUGGAAUGCGUAGAGAUCCGGAAGAACACCGGUGGCGAAGGCGGUCUGCUGGGGUGAGGCUGACGCUGAUGCGCGACAGCGUGGGGAGCAAACAGG
rnacentral:rRNA from 1 species